UGGCAGACGGCUGAGUAAUACAUGGGAAUCUACCUCAAACUCGAGAAUAGCCCAUCGAAAGGUGGUGUAAUACUCGAUAGUUCCGUUUACGGUAAAGCUCCGGCGGUUUGAGAUGAGCCCAUGUCCUAUCAGGUUGUUGGCGGGGUAAUUGCCUACCAAGCCUAUGACGGGUAGCUGGUUUGAGAGGAUGAUCAGCCAGACUGGGACUGCGAUACGGCCCAGACUCCUACGGGAGGCAGCAACUAGGAAUCAUGCGCAAUGGACGAAAGUCUGACGCUGCGACGUCGCGUGAGGGAUGAAGGUCUUCGGAUCGUAAACCUCUUUUAUCUGGGAACAAGUUCUGAGUGUACCAGAUGAAUAAGUGCCUGCCAACCACGUGCCAGAAGCAUCGGUAAUGCGUGGGGCACGAGCGUUAUCCGGAUUUACUGGGCGUAAAGAGAUGCGUAGGCGCCUUUUUAAGUCACUUGUAAAAUCUCCCCGCCCAACGGGGAAACUGCAAGUGAUACUGAAUUGGUUGAGUCAAGUAGAGGAGAGGGGAAUUCCUGGUGGAGCGGUUAAAUGCGUUGAUAUCAGGAGGAAUACCAAGCGCGAAGGCACCUCUCUGGACUUGUACUGACGCUAAGGCUCGAAAGUGUGGGGAGCAAAACGGAUUAGAUACCCGUGUAGUCCACACUGUAAACGAUCCCUGCUAGAUGUUUG
rnacentral:rRNA from 1 species